UAUCUUGCCUGGGACUUCCCCGGCAAGAAUGCUGGAGUGGGUUGCCAUUUCUUUCCCAGGGGAUCUUCUCCAUCCAGGGAUCCAACCUGCAUCUCUUGCAUCUCCUUCAUUGGCAGGCGAAUUCUUUACUACUGUGUCACCUGGGCAGCCCUCAUACCAGCUAUAGCUGUUUGGAAAUGGGGUCUCUGGUCAGUUUCUGGGCAAUUGACACAUGUGUACAGGCAACCUUUUCUGCGUACACGCCUAUAACUUGGCCUCCGAUGGCUCCGAGCACCCUGAAAGGUGAAUGAUGCUCACGGGAGACCGCACUGGAAGCUGUCACCCUGGGCUCCUUCCCUGCAUUUUGCCUUCUUCCUCUAAUUCUUAACAUCUCUCUCUCCUGAUUCUUAGAUUUCUCCUCCCAUGUCUGCAUCAACUCAUGAUACCAUUUUGUCAAAACAAUGGACAAUAAUAGUUCACAAUGAGCUCUAAAUAAUUUAAAUAUUUGGUUACAAUGAAGAUGGCCACAGCCUGCACAUCUCUUUGAGCUCAGAAAGGGUUUCCUUCAUUAGUUCUAACUUUAUUUCCCAUAAAAUAGGAGGCCAUUUGAGUAAAAUGAUAGUUGGAAAAAAUUUUUAAGCAGAACCAGCAAAUAAACAUGGUCUUUAUGAGUUGUAACUUAAUCCCCAGCUGAUGUCAUGCUUCAUGUUUCAACAGCCAGAAAAUGCCUGACAUCUAUAUAUCAGGCAGAUUUAUGGAGACUUCAGGGUAAAGAGAGAAAGAGGAGCUCAACCCCCUUUGCUCUGGAUAUGCAGCUCCGAGGAGAUGUCGCAAGGCUUUAUAAUCAUGAUUUCAAAAAGGUUUGUGGAAAUGUUGCAUUAAUUCUUAUAAAGAAAUCUUUUUUUCUUAAUUUUUUCAUUAACUUCAGACAUUUACUUGCAAUUACAUUUGUUCGGUGAAUACAAUGACAGAAAUUAAUAAUUCAUAGCUUUUGUCAGGGAAAAUUUUUUUAAAAGGGACAGUUGUUCAAUCAAAUACAACUUUAAAUGCCCCAUCUUUAUUUAAAUAAGAUUUUUAAAAUAAAUAAUGGGGACUGUUAUUGUACUUCCUAUAA
rnacentral:lncRNA from 1 species